GCCUAUCUCUCCAUUGAUUGGACCUGCUACUCACCUCCCCACCACCGUCGCUUGCCUCCCCAUCGCUCACUUUUCCACCUCUUUUUCCCUUCCACCGCUUAGGCCGGCCAUGCCGGUCCUUCUCAUCCGUUGCUCACCUUCUCAGUCAUAUGUUGUCUCUCUUCUUCCUCCACCUCUAUCACUCGGGUCCACUACUCGCCUCUCCACUGCCACAUGCUGACCUCCG
rnacentral:lncRNA from 1 species